rnacentral:rRNA from 1 species
CAGGCUUAACACAUGCAAGUCUUGGGGCAUCAGGAAGAAAGCUUGCUUUCUUUGCUGGCGACCGGCGCACGGGUGAGUAACACGUAUCCAACCUGCCCUUUACUCGGGGAUAGCCUUUCGAAAGAAAGAUUAAUACCCGAUAGCAUAAUGAUUCCGCAUGGUUUCAUUAUUAAAGGAUUCCGGUAAAGGAUGGGGAUGCGUUCCAUUAGGUUGUUGGUGAGGUAACGGCCCACCAAGCCUUCGAUGGAUAGGGGUUCUGAGAGGAAGGUCCCCCACAUUGGAACUGAGACACGGUCCAAACUCCUACGGGAGGCAGCAGUGAGGAAUAUUGGUCAAUGGGCGCUAGCCUGAACCAGCCAAGUAGCGUGAAGGAUGAAGGCUCUAUGGGUCGUAAACUUCUUUUAUAUAAGAAUAAAGUGCAGUAUGUAUACUGUUUUGUAUGUAUUAUAUGAAUAAGGAUCGGCUAACUCCGUGCCAGCAGCCGCGGUAAUACGGAGGAUCCGAGCGUUAUCCGGAUUUAUUGGGUUUAAAGGGAGCGUAGGUGGACUGGUAAGUCAGUUGUGAAAGUUUGCGGCUCAACCGUAAAAUUGCAGUUGAUACUGUCAGUCUUGAGUACAGUAGAGGUGGGCGGAAUUCGUGGUGUAGCGGUGAAAUGCUUAGAUAUCACGAAGAACUCCGAUUGCGAAGGCAGCUCACUGGACUGCAACUGACACUGAUGCUCGAAAGUGUGGGUAUCAAACAGGAUUAGAUACCCUGGUAGUCCACACAGUAAACGAUGAAUACUCGCUGUUUGCGAUAUACAGUAAGGCGGCCAAGCGAAAGCAUUAAGUAUUCCACGUGGGGAGUACGGCCGGCAACGGUGAAACUCAAAGGAAUUGACGGGGGCCCGCACAAGCGGAGGAACAUGUGGUUUAAUUCGAUGAUACGCGAGGAACCUUACCCGGGCUUAAAUUGCAGUGGAAUGAUGUGGAAACAUGUCAGUGAGCAAUCACCGCUGUGAAGGUGCUGCAUGGUUGUCGUCAGCUCGUGCCGUGAGGUGUCGGCUCAAGUGCCAUAACGAGCGCAACCCUUAUCUUUAGUUACUAACAGGUUAUGCUGAGGACUCUAGAGAGACUGCCGUCGUAAGAUGUGAGGAAGGUGGGGAUGACGUCAAAUCAGCACGGCCCUUACGUCCGGGGCUACACACGUGUUACAAUGGGGGGUACAGAAGGCAGCUAGCGGGUGACCGUAUGCUAAUCCCAAAAUCCUCUCUCAGUUCGGAUCGAAGUCUGCAACCCGACUUCGUGAAGCUGGAUUCGCUAGUAAUCGCGCAUCAGCCACGGCGCGGUGAAUACGUUCCCGGGCCUUGUACACACCACCCGUCAAGCCAUGGGAGCCGGGGGUACCUGAAGUACGUAACCGCAAGGAUCGUCCUAGGGUAAAACUGGUGA